UCUCUUCAUUGCCCUGGACAUCACUAAAAUGAACCGUGCAGAAAAUCACUCCCAGGAUCUGGAAACUCAUCUUUUUCUGCUGCAAUUUGUCUUUUGAUGCCUCCGUUUUCUCCCUCCCAGGGCAGAAUUAGCAGUGCAGCACAAGGUUCCAUUCAAGGAAGAACAAAGCCUGGCCCAAGGUCCCUCCCACCGAGGACCAUGUCGAGGGCCACCCUGCAGGGCCAGUUCCCUUUCAGGCACCAGCCUUUGUGGGGCGGGGGGCUUUUUCUGAAAGUAGCCCUGGAAUCACACCUGCCCCACCUCUGGCCUUGGCAUGCGGUACAUAGGCUGAGUGUCAAAGGUCACCCUGAGGUCACCAGGCAGUCUAGAGGACCAGGGGAGGUAGGGCAGGCUUUCAGCCCACCUGCUUGCCAGUCUGACUUCUGCCCUGUUCACUGUCGCCCUUGCCCCGUACCCAGCCUUGCUGCCUUAAAGAAAGAAACCUCCUUUGCAUGACAGGAAGCAGGGAAGUUCCCUGAAGUGUACUGCAAACCUAAAAACACCGCAAACCCGUCUUUCAUCACCACCUGGAUGACUGUUUGAAGAGAAACAGAAAACAGCUCUUAACCCCUGAGAGGCUGGGCUCGCACUGAGAGAACAUGCUGUGGCCUCCCGCUCGCUGGGCAGAUGAGGAAACCCAAGCCCAAAGUAGGAACCAAAAGAAUUGGACUCUUUCUGGGAUAUCUGGAGCCUGCCUGAAGAAAAGUGAAGAGGCUAUUUAAGCAGUUUUAAGGAAUUUAUCUGGGAAACGAGGAAGGCUACUGACCAGCAAAUCCAAGCUGUUUAUAUGGGUCUGGAUGUUGUGUGCAUCUUCAGCAGGAACUCCCCUGAAGUGCUUAAGUUUUGAACUUCCUGUCUCCCUUAUGACCAUUGCAAAUGGAACCAUCCACUUGACACACUUCUCUAUAUCACACCACUGAUACCCUGCAAUGAAAAUAAAUUUUAGGCUCAAUUGGUUUGGAA